GGAGGUAGUGACAAUAAAUCACAAUGCGGAACUAUUUAGUUUUGCAAUUGAAUUGAGAACAAUGUACAAAUGUUAUCGAUAAACAAUUGGAGGGCAAGUCUGGUGCCAGCAGCCGCGGUAAUUCCAGCUCCAAUAGCGUAUAUUAACGUUGUUGCAGUUAAAAAGCUCGUAGUUGAAAUGUGGGAUGAAGUAUAUGAUGAAUUUAAUAUUCAAUUAUAUAUUGAUUCCCCUCUCCAAUUUAUUAUUAUGGGUAUUAAUUUAUUUGUAAUAAGAAUUGGUCAUUUACUGUGAGAAAAUUAGAGUGUUCAAAGCAGGCAUUUGCUUGAAUAGAUUAGCAUGGAAUAAUACUAAAAGGCUUUUAUGGUCGAUUUAAUUGGUUUGUUCAUAAAAGCAAGAUUAAAAGGAACAGUUGGGGGUAUUCAUAUUCAAUAGUUAGAGGUGAAAUUCUCGGAUUUAUGGAAGAUGAACAAGUGCGAAAGCA
rnacentral:rRNA from 1 species